rnacentral:rRNA from 1 species
AAAGCCCGCUCGCCGGAAGACCAAGGGUUCCUGUCCAACGUUAAUCGGGGCAGGGUGAGUCGACCCCUAAGGCGAGGCCGAAAGGCGUAGUCGAUGGGAAACAGGUUAAUAUUCCUGUACUUGGUGUUACUGCGAAGGGGGGACGGAGAAGGCUAUGUUGGCCGGGCGACGGUUGUCCCGGUUUAAGCGUGUAGGCUGGUUUUCCAGGCAAAUCCGGAAAAUCAAGGCUGAGGCGUGAUGACGAGGCACUGCGGUGCUGAAGCAACAAAUGCCCUGCUUCCAGGAAAAGCCUCUAAGCAUCAGGUAACAUCAAAUCGUACCCCAAACCGACACAGGUGGUCAGGUAGAGAAUACCAAGGCGCUUGAGAGAACUCGGGUGAAGGAACUAGGCAAAAUGGUGCCGUAACUUCGGGAGAAGGCACGCUGAUAUGUAGGUGAAGUCCCUCGCGGAUGGAGCUGAAAUCAGUCGAAGAUACCAGCUGGCUGCAACUGUUUAUUAAAAACACAGCACUGUGCAAACACGAAAGUGGACGUAUACGGUGUGACGCCUGCCCGGUGCCGGAAGGUUAAUUGAUGGGGUUAGCGCAAGCGAAGCUCUUGAUCGAAGCCCCGGUAAACGGCGGCCGUAACUAUAACGGUCCUAAGGUAGCGAAAUUCCUUGUCGGGUAAGUUCCGACCUGCACGAAUGGCGUAAUGAUGGCCAGGCUGUCUCCACCCGAGACUCAGUGAAAUUGAACUCGCUGUGAAGAUGCAGUGUACCCGCGGCAAGACGGAAAGACCCCGUGAACCUUUACUAUAGCUUGACACUGAACAUUGAGCCUUGAUGUGUAGGAUAGGUGGGAGGCUUUGAAGUGUGGACGCCAGUCUGCAUGGAGCCGACCUUGAAAUACCACCCUUUAAUGUUUGAUGUUCUAACGUUGACCCGUAAUCCGGGUUGCGGACAGUGUCUGGUGGGUAGUUUGACUGGGGCGGUCUCCUCCUAAAGAGUAACGGAGGAGCACGAAGGUUGGCUAAUCCUGGUCGGACAUCAGGAGGUUAGUGCAAUGGCAUAAGCCAGCUUGACUGCGAGCGUGACGGCGCGAGCAGGUGCGAAAGCAGGUCAUAGUGAUCCGGUGGUUCUGAAUGGAAGGGCCAUCGCUCAACGGAUAAAAGGUACUCCGGGGAUAACAGGCUGAUACCGCCCAAGAGUUCAUAUCGACGGCGGUGUUUGGCACCUCGAUGUCGGCUCAUCACAUCCUGGGGCUGAAGUAGGUCCCAAGGGUAUGGCUGUUCGCCAUUUAAAGUGGUACGCGAGCUGGGUUUAGAACGUCGUGAGACAGUUCGGUCCCUAUCUGCCGUGGGCGCUGGAGAACUGAGGGGGGCUGCUCCUAGUACGAGAGGACCGGAGUGGACGCAUCACUGGUGUUCGGGUUGUCAUGCCAAUGGCACUGCCCGGU